rnacentral:rRNA from 1 species
UACGAAGGGGCUAGCGUUGCUCGGAAUCACUGGGCGUAAAGCGCACGUAGGCGGAUUGUUAAGUCAGGGUGAAUCCCGGAGCUCAACUUCGGAACUGCCUUGAUACAGCACAUCUGGAGUCCGGAAGAGGAGAGUGGAAUUCCUGGUGUAGCGGUGAAUGCGCAGAUAUCAGGAGACACCGUGCGAGCGCUCUCUGGACGGUACUGACGCUGAGACGCGAAGCGUGGAGCGACAG